rnacentral:rRNA from 1 species
UACCAGCACCCCGAGUGGUCGGGACGAUUAUUGGGCCUAAAGCAUCCGUAGCCGGUUCUACAAGUCUUCCGUUAAAUCCACCUGCUUAACAGAUGGGCUGCGGAGGAUACUAUAGAGCUAGGAGGCGGGAGAGGCAAGCGGUACUUAGUGGGUAGGGGUAAAAUCCGUUGAUCCAUUGAAGACCACCAGUGGCGAAGGCAGCUUGCCAGAACGCACUCGACGGUGAGGGAUGAAAGCUGGGGGAGCAAACCGG